AUUGAACGCUGGCGGCAUGCCUUACACAUGCAAGUCGAACGGCAGCACGGACUUCGGUCUGGUGGCGAGUGGCGAACGGGUGAGUAAUGUAUCGGAACGUGCCUGGUAGUGGGGGAUAACUAGUCGAAAGAUUAGCUAAUACCGCAUACGACCUAAGGGUGAAAGCAGGGGACCUUCGGGCCUUGUGCUAUCAGAGCGGCCGAUAUCUGAUUAGCUAGUUGGUGGGGUAAAGGCCCACCAAGGCGACGAUCCCUAGCUGGUCUGAGAGGAUGACCAGCCACACUGGAACUGAGACACGGUCCAGACUCCUACGGGAGGCAGCAGUGGGGAAUAUUGCACAAUGGGCGCAAGCCUGAUGCAGCCAUGCCGCGUGUGUGAAGAAGGCCUUCGGGUUGUAAAGCACUUUCAGCGGGGAGGAAGGCGAUAAGGUUAAUAACCUUGUCGAUUGACGUUACCCGCAGAAGAAGCACCGGCUAACUCCGUG
rnacentral:rRNA from 1 species